CCUCAGUAGCCGGUGCACAAUGCGGGUCACGGUGGCGACACACACCAGCCUGGGCUCCAUCAGGUCCACGGCCUCCAGCUUCAUGCCCUGACGGAAGCCAUGAUUGGGUACAUCCUGGAAGACAGAACGAAGGAGGUGGAGAAGCCGACAGGAAAGAUGGAGGGUGAGGAGCCAUGGUAACAGAACCAGUCUGAUCCGUCCACAGCCUCUGAUCCGUCAAUCCCAAUCAUGAGGUACCCGUCUGCUAAAACCUGGACCAGAAGAAACAUCAGAAGUGGCUACACAUAUAGCUGAGAGAUUGAGGGGGUCGAUGGCUUCCAGCUUCAUCCCAUCUCUGAACCAGUCCCCGCUCUGGUCCACCUCCUUCACCUGAAACACACAGAUGUCAGAUGUCUGUAGUGGUCAGUGGUUCAGAGACCAAUCUCAGCUUUAGGC